GAUGAACGCUGGCGGCGUGCUUAACACAUGCAAGUCGAACGGGAAACCUUUUAAUGAAGCUUCGGCAGAUUUAGCUGGUUUCUAGUGGCGGACGGGUGAGUAACGCGUGGGUAACCUGCCUUAUACAGGGGGAUAACAGUCAGAAAUGACUGCUAAUACCGCAUAAGCGCACCGGACCGCAUGGUCCGGUGUGAAAAACUCCGGUGGUAUAAGAUGGACCCGCGUUGGAUUAGCUUGUUGGUGGGGUAACGGCUCACCAAGGCGACGAUCCAUAGCCGGCCUGAGAGGGUGAACGGCCACAUUGGGACUGAGACACGGCCCAGACUCCUACGGGAGGCAGCAGUGGGGAAUAUUGCACAAUGGGGGAAACCCUGAUGCAGCGACGCCGCGGGAAGGAAGAAGUAUCUCGGUAUGUAAACUUCUAUCAGCAGGGAAGAUAGUGAAGGUACCUGACUAAGAAGCCCCGGCUAACUACGU
rnacentral:rRNA from 1 species